UCCCUGGUGGCUCAGCAGUAAAGAAUUUGUUUGCAAUACAGGGGGGCCAGGUUCAAUCCCUGGGUAGGGAA
rnacentral:tRNA from 1 species